UGGUGGAGUGAUUUGUCUGGUUAAUUCCGUUAACGAACGAGACCUUGACCUGCUAAAUAGUUUCAUGUCGCCUUGGUCAGGUGGAAAACUUCUAGAGGAACUUUGUGUGUCUAAUGCAAGGAAGUUUGAGGCAAUAACA
rnacentral:rRNA from 1 species